rnacentral:rRNA from 1 species
GACAGAGGCCCCAAGCGUUAGGCGGAAUCACUGGGCGUAAAGCGUGUGUAGGCGGACGCCUAAGUGUCUUGUGAAAUCCCACGGCUCACCCGUGGAACUGCUGGGCAUACUGGGCGUCUUGGGCCAACUAGGGGCAGCCGGAACAAGCGGUGGAGCGGUGAAAUGCGUAGAUAUCGCUUGGAACACCGAAGGUGAAAACAGGCUGCUGGGGUUGUGCCGACGCUGAGACACGAAAGCCAGGGGAGCAAACGGG